AUGCAGCUGUGGGGUCUUUUCCUGUGCCUGGUGACAGGUCCCCAAGGUGUCCUGUCUGACCUGACACUGCAAGAGUCUGGCCCAGGACUGGUGAAACCCUCACAGACCCUGUCCCUCACCUGUGCUGUCUCCGGGGGCUCUGUAACCAGCAGUUACUACUGGAAGUGGAUCUGCCCGCGCCCUGGGAAAGGGUUGGAGUGGAUGGAGUACUGGACAGGAAGUACAAGCUACAACCCUGCUUUCCAAGGCCGAAUCUCCAUCACUGCUGACACGUCCAAGAACCAGUUCUCCCUGCAGCUGAGUUCUGUGACCACCGAGGACACACCCGUGUAUUACUGUGCAAGAGACAGUGAGAGGAAGUCAGUGAUCAUAGUCCCUCUUGCUUCUGGUGUCUUCCCCCUAGUGGCGCAUGUGAAAUCUUGUGUGCGCCUUCCAAGAGUGGAGUCUCUGCUUCCCCGAGUCCUGUGCAGCUACGGCACACAGUCUCCAUGGGCCUUCAAAGUCAAGCUCUCUGGGGGCUCCUCUUCCCAAUGCCAGAUGCUCUGA